UACGUAGGUGGCAAGCGUUGUCCGGAUUUACUGGGCGUAAAGGAUGCGUAGGCGGACAUUUAAGUCAGAUGUGAAAUACCCGAGCUUAACUUGGGUGCUGCAUUUGAAACUGGGUGUCUAGAGUGCAGGAGAGGUAAGUGGAAUUCCUAGUGUAGCGGUGAAAUACGUAGAGAUUGGAAGAACACCAGUGGCGAAGGCGGACUAUC
rnacentral:rRNA from 1 species